rnacentral:pre_miRNA from 1 species
UGUAACAGCAACUCCAUGUGGAAGGUUUCAUCCCUUUUCCAGUGGGGCUGCUGUUAUUUU